rnacentral:rRNA from 1 species
UACGAAGGGGGCUAGCGUUGUUCGGAAUCACUGGGCGUAAAGGGCGCGUAGGCGGCUUUAUAAGUCGGGGGUGAAAUCCCUCGGCUCAACCGAGGAACUGCGUCCGAUACUGGUGGGCUUGAAUCCGGGAGAGGGAUGUGGAAUUCCAGGUGUAGCGGUGAAAUGCGUAGAUAUCUGGAGGAACACCGGUGGCGAAGGCGGCAUCCUGGACCGGUAUUGACGCUGAGGCGCGAAAGCUAGGGGAGCAAACGGG